UGCCAGCCGCCGCGGUAAUACGGAGAGGGCAAGCGUUGUUCGGAAUCACUGGGCAUAAAGAGCACGUAGGCGGAUAGGCAAGUCGGUUGUGAAAUCCCGGGGCUUAACCCCGGAACUGCUUCCGAAACUGCCUGUCUUGAGGACGAGAGGGGAGAGUGGAACUUCUGGUGGAGCGGUGAAAUGCGUAGAUAUCAGAAGGAACACCGGUGGCGAAAGCGACUCUCUGGCUCGUUUCUGACGCUGAGGCACGAAAGCUAGGGUAGCGAACAGGAUUAGAUA
rnacentral:rRNA from 1 species